UUGAUUAAUGAUGAGAAUGUGCCAUAAACUAAAGAUUAUAAUUCAUUUAAUUUUGUGCACCCAAGUUAAAA
rnacentral:snoRNA from 14 species